AUUCAGCCAAUCUGAGCCAAUGCGAUCCAAAAACAGGUAAAUUGUGCAGUCCCUGACUCUGCCGUUAGGUAGACUCUAGAACAGAGAAGCAUUGAUCUAAGGAACCAGGGUGAGUGUGAAAAAUGAGAAAGAGUCACAGGAAAGUUUUCUAGUGGAUUGAACAAAAGCACAAGUUGGAAAUAAUGGAUGAGAACUGCAGCUAAAUAAAAUGAAACAUAAGGAUUGGCAGAACAGAGAGAGGCAAAGAAGGUCUUUGUCACAAAGUUCUGGACUUUAUCUGUGCUGUUCAUUGAAGUACGGUUGGAGACUUCCCUGAAAAGAUUUUGACCAUAAGGUGCAGUAGAGCAAAGAGACCCAACAAGUUGGGACAGCAACAGAGACUUCCAAAUAUAAUAAAAAUACUUCUCUAGCUGCAUUAAAUCAAUUCCAGCCUCCAACAGCAGUGCAAUCUCCAGAAAUGAUUGACAGAACUCUUGAUUGCCCUUGCUAUGUCUUGCUGAAGAUCGCUUGAAGUGAAACAAUCUGAGACUCACAAGCCUCCCAAACAAGAUAACCAGUAAAAUUCAGAUGAAAUGGAGUCAGCUUGGAGAGCCAAACAGCCUAUUCCUGCUCUUCUAUAAAGAAUAUGAUGUACCUCUGGGUUUGUGAGCCUCUGCCAAGAAUAUCUUCACAAUGAUGUCUGUUUGUUCUGAUGAAUAAAGACUCUAUUAUCACCAGCUUCAGAGUCUCUCCAGUGAAUUUGGUCAUAGUCACAACAAUGUGCAUUUUUAUAAAGCAAUUACUUGAAUGUAUAUACAGGCUAAUGAAGUUCACAGAAGAAUACUCACUCCUAAUUGUACCUGAACUAUGUGGUUUGAGAGAUUUUUCACACAGCAGUUCCCAGUUGAUUGCUUAUGCCGGGUCUGGGACUGA